ensembl:lncRNA
GAGGGAGAUAAGAACCCAGAUAUAGGUCUGGUGUUCUACUCAUUUUGUUGUUGUUUAGUCGCUAAGUCAUGUCUGACACUUUGUGACCCCGUGGACUGCAGCACACCAGGCUUCUCUGUCCUUCAGUAUCUCCUGGAGUUUGUAGUUGGGAGCAAUUUUAUAAACUCGCAUCAGCUUUCCUAAUACAAUAGAUUUGGGGGUUUAAAAAGUGUUGGCAAGAUGUCCUUUAAAUAUUUAGAAACGUUCUCUGCCCCACCACCAAAGCUGAGUAUUUGUUUUUUAAAAAUAAAUACUUGGCCAGGAUGCCGUGCGGUACCCCCAGCCCAGGUGACUAUUGUGCAAGCCGGCCCGCCCACAAGCUGAGGGCGGGGACCUGCCCACAGCUGUCACCCUGUUCCUAACAACUCCUCGGGGCACACCCUGCUCAUUAGGCCCCGGCCACGCCUGUCCGCCCAGACUCCUGGUGGAACCAGAAUGCCAGGAGCGGGCGGCUCCUUGAACCCUGAACAAUGGCCUGUGAGGAGUUAAUCCAGCCCCAGGGCCAGGGGGCCCAGAAAGCUAGGGGCUGGGUGCUUGCUUGGAGCUGCCUCUGCCACUACCGUGCAUAGGACAGGCCUGAAGGGCCUACACACAGGCCCAGCUCCCGUGUCUGUCUCCAGGAGGCCAGGCAGCAGCAGAGGCCCCCAGAAGGAGUCAGGCAGAGCUCUAGGCAGUAAAAAUAGAUUCGUGUUUAGAGGCUGCCUUCCUUGGUGGAGGGCUGAGCUGUGCAGACAUUAUCUCACUCCGGCUCAAUGUCCCCCCAGGUCUCUAAAGCAGGGCUGAGGCACUUGGGCCAGAGUCUGCUCCUGAAGACACAGGCAUGGAGCUCCGUCAUCAUGCCUUGCCACAGGGAGGCCAUGAGGGUGCCAAAGGACCAGCCACAGGGCUUGAGGAGGAGUUUGAAGUCCUGUCUAAACCAAUUCUGCUUCAGACAUUCACCCUCCCAGGAAGGCCCAGACCAGAGAAAUCUCCAAGCCCCACAAGCCCCUUUGCUAAUGGCUAGAACUGGUUACUCAUUGGCAGAGCCUGUUUUGGUUGAUAAACCUUUUUCUCACAUGUGAUGUCACUUGAUCUUCAUAACAAAACAAUAUUUCCUCAUUUUACAGAGGAGGAAACUAAAGCUCAGAGUUUAAGCAACGAGCUUAAAGGAUACCAACUAGGAAGCAGUAAAUCUAGGACAGGGACCCAGAUGGUCAAAUUCCAAGGUCAUCGUUGUCUCUGGGAUGUCGUGUCCCUCACUCCAGGCCCUAGGGACCCAGAAAAGCCCCACCAGGACUCAGACAGUGGGCUGAGGCCUUCCCAGCCAGCACAGCUGUGUAUCUGUGGCCCAAAGGGCCCAGAGGCCCACCACGCUUCUGCCCUUCACAGCAGCGCCGGUUCAUCGAGAAGGUCAGAAAAGUGAAGUCAUUCUCUAGUGUGCCUGAGAUCUCAGGGCAGACCUUGCCUGAGGCUAGACAAGGCUGAAUCUCUUUCCUCCUGCUCAACCCCAUGAUGUUCUUUGAAGAGCUGUGAGGAACAGGGAAUGGCUAUCUUGGUGGGGACAACGGGUGGAAGCAGCAGCAAGCAGAUGGGACAAAAUGUAGAGAAGGAUCAGUAUGAAGAUGAACUCUCCAGCCUGGUCAGGGGUUGUGAUCGGCUGCUUUACAAAAAGCUGGCCACGAUUGUCCAUAUUGAAGAGGAGCUCUCUUGGGACAUCUGAAUACCUGAAAUCUGGAGUUAGAGGUGGAGGGACUUGACACUAGCAUCCCAGCGCUGCCCAUGGGAUACCUCAAGCUACAAAACUGCCACAGUUCUUUGAGGGUUAAGAGAAACCAGACCACCCCCUCACCCAGAAAACCUCUGAGGAGUGUGCUCAUCGGGGAAUAGCAGAUAGCACCUUUCGCCCCUCAUCACCCCUCCUGGCUACCCACCUCCUGCUUGGUUUUUGGUUUUCCCCUGGAAGCACUCCCUGCCAACCUGGGGAACUGGGGCACAAGCUGCGUUCAGGCUCAGCCCAGCCUGGCCAGUGUUCUUCUAGGAGUCGUGGGAGCGACUCCCACUCAUUCCUUCAUCAAUCAAUGUUUCCUCAGCCCCCGUGCACCUGCAAACCCCAAACGGCAGACAUUUCUCUCAUAGAAACAAAGAGCAAAGGAUAUGAACUGAUUAUUCUCAGACCUGGCCUUGCUAUUUACUUGCUAUGUAAAUUUGGAGAAGCAACUUAACCACUCUGAGCCUGUUUCCUUAUCUGUAAAAUUAUGACAAUAAGGGUUCUAACGCAUGGGUUACUUGGCAAUUGAAUGAGAUAAUCCACAUAUUAUGAGUAGAAUUGUGUCCCCCACCAAAUUCACACAUUGAAGCCCUAACUCCCCAGUACCUCAGAAUUUAUUUGGAGACAGGCCCUAUAAGGGGUGAUGACAUUAGGAUGAGGCCAUUAGGGUGGGGCCCUAAUGCAAUGUGACUGGUGUCCUUGUGGGAAGAAGAAAAGACAAAGAAAUGGGCACACAGAGAAAAGACCACGUGAAGAGAGAGCAAAAGGGUGGCCAAGGAAAGAGGCCGCAGGAGAAAUAAACCCUGUGGGCACACUGAUCUUGGACAUCUAUCCUCCAGAACCCUAGGAAAACAAAUGUCUGUGACAUUUUGUUAUGGCAGCCCUAGCCCACUAAUACACGAUCCAAAGCAGAAGAAUAACAUCUGGCAUAUUAUAUAC